GAAUGACCUUUCUCAUGUUCUUUUCGCAGCUCAUUUGUUUCUCUCUCCUCUCUUUCACUUUCACUUUCUCUCUCUACUCUCAAAUCUCUCCUUUUUUGCACUCUCAAAUCAAGAUUUUGUUCUUCACUGAUCAACUAUUUUCCUAUGAUUAUUUGAUUUUCGUCAUUGUUUGAGGGAAUACAUUUUGAUUAUUAGAUUGCUGAAGAAUCAUGUCGAAUGAUGAUAUAAAGGAGAAGGAGUUGGAUCUUAGCUAUCCUAAAGUGCUGCUGUCAUCGUAUAAAUGAAUUUCAAGAGUUGAAUCAGCCCAAAAAAUGAUCGGGUUGAGUGCUGCAGCUGCUGCCACGUCAAGGCUGCAACUACUGAUGCUUCCCUGUAGGCCCUGCCAAGGCUGCAGCUGCUGCCUUGGAGGCCCUGCCAAGCCUGCAAGUACUUAUCUAGCUUGCUGUUUUAAUCCUAUGGAAGAGAGUGAAACACAUGUUGUCUUGCGACUUCAACACACAGGUUGUUGCUCAGCAAGGCCCUAUUCAGAUGAGAAGGUCAACAUUGGCUCAAAUCUUUCAAUUAUGAAAUUCCUGCACAUCUUCUGAGUUUUAUUAUUUAGUUUUAUGAAAUUCAAGGAGGAAUUUUAUUAUUUAGUUUAAUUUAAUUUUGAGUUAGUCUUAUUAACUUUUGAGUUAGUGGUAGUUACUUUUGAGUUGAUGUUAGUGACUGAGUUUGGUAUAUAAUUAUGUGCAUGGAAUAUUUAGUAGCAUACUACACUUUUCACUAUGGAGCAGGUGACUUCCAACCUACAAAGGCAACAAACCUUUGCCUAGCGUAUGUUGCCUCUUACACUGAUAGCGAUACACACACACACGACAACCCAAAAUUCAAUGUGUUGCUUGCACUGCUAUUUUAAUCUUGAAACUGAUUUGAGUAGAUAACUUUGUUCUUCUUGGCUAACACCAUCUAAAUGCUAACCUAGUGCUUACACUAUUGUCAUGUCACAACGGAUUGCACUUGUCAGAUAUGUGGGGCUUCGUGUGAAUCUUUCAUUCAUGCCUUGUUCCAAUGUCGGGAUGCAAAAUUGAUUUGGGACUUGGGAGCAUAGUAGUUAUGUGGAGUUGUUGAAUGAUGCGCCUACAAGCUCCUUUGCUGAGUGUCUGUAGUGGCUUGCACAUAAGGUGGAGAAAAAAGAACUAAGUUUGAUGUGUGUUCUGACUUGGGUUGCUUGGUUUUGCAGGGAUGAGAGUAUUUACCAGGACCCUGUGACUAGUCAUGUAUGUCUAGCAUUUAAUUAUACCAAGUUAUUGCAUUAUUAUGGUUGGAAUUGGAGUGCACCAGCAAGGCUGAAAAAUGCAGAAGCAAGAACAGCAAGGUUAGGGCUCCUUGUAGCUCGUAGAUUUGGUGUGCAUCGAAUAGCCGAAUAUAGUUGGAAGAAGAUGCGAUUUCUAUAAUUAAGCAUUUCUUAUUUACUUUUGAGUAUAUUUUAUUUACAUUUGUGAUUUUUAGUAUAAAAAAUAAAAUAAAAACCAUCAAUUGUGUUAACUAAUUAUUCUUAUUCUAUAAUAGCCUAGUAGCUCAAUGAGAAGAGCAUUGUCAGUCACUACAUGAUAUAUUUUGCUAUAAGGAGCAGUAGUUUAUGUAUUGUGUUUGAUUGAUGAUAUGUCCAAUUUAUAUAGUGUUUUACCCCCGUCCCUUGGACAUAAUUAGUAGUGUUUUUGUCUCUUUAGAGCCACUUUUAUUACUAAUUUGUGUUUUCUAGUGUUUUUGUAGUUUUGCUUGAGUUUUGUAGGAAAUUGCACAGUUGGAGCGUUUUCCGGUUUUUCAUGAAGCAACUACGAGCAUUAGGAGGACAUGACCGUCUUUGAAGCCCAGGACUGGUUAAGAGCCGGUGUUUAAGGGCUCGGUAUGUGAUACUAGGGCAUAUGGAUCGAGUAUUCAAGACCGGAAGAGGAAAUCUGGAUUGGGCCGAAGAAUUGAGCCCAAUCGAAGUCCAAGCCUCGAAGAAGAGACCGGUCUGAUCGGGCAAGCUUGCGCCCGAUCGGGCGGGCGCGCAUAUGAGAGCAUCAGCAAGAAGGCGCGCCUGAUCGGGUGAGAGUAAUUUCGAUCGGGCGCGGCGAGCCAGGAAGGGCAAAGGAAGUUCGCCCGAUCGGGCGCGUGUUUUUGGAAGACCUGAUUGUCGAGAUUUUUAGUUUUCAAUUAGGAAUUGUUUUAGGGAUGUUUAAGUACGAUUUUUUUACGUAAUUGGGAUUACCUUCU